rnacentral:tRNA from 1 species
GGGGGCAUAGCUCAGUUGGCUAGAGCGUUUGACUGGCAGUCAAGAGGUCAGGGGUUCGACUCCCCUUGUCUCCACAA